AAUAACAGAUAUAUAUUUGGAGAAGAAAAAGCAAAUAACUUAACCUAUAUACAUAAAAGAAAAAAGACCUCCAACUCUUCAAUGGCCAUGAAGAUGUCAAUGCUUAAGUUUACGAUCCUUGCCAUUUUCUUACUGAUCGUCCUUGGUUCGUCUCUAUCGUUAUUUAUGCAUUUGCUUUUGAAUUAUUUCUUAGUUUGAAAAAAAUUUAUCCAAUAUAAUCCUUUUUGAAAAAUUUUAGAUGAUUACAGUGUAGAAAUUGUGAUUAUUAUUUCCUUUUUCAUAAUAUGAAAUAAAUAAACUUCAUAAUCUAUUUUUUUAACAUUGAAUAAUGAAUAAUCUGGAUCUGCCAUUGUCUAUAUAUUUGCUUGUUUUUAUAGUAAUAUUAAAAAUAUAUAUGCUUUUGACUAAAUGUGAGAAAAAAGCAAAUGUUUCAGAUUUGCAAGUUGGGGUGCGAGCAAGAGGGCCAAUAGUUGGUUUUGGAUGCAAAACAGUUCAAGAUUGUAUUGCAAAUAAUCCAGUAUGUUCACCAGACAUUUGCAAACCACCUAACUGGUGCCUCUGCGCAAAUGAAAGGUGCGCAUGUCAGCCAGUUUCGUUAAGUGCUACAACCCUCAUUGGAAGCUAAGGAAAAGAUACCGCCAAAACCUUUUAUUGGAUAAGUGGAAAGGAAGAUCUUAAUAAAACAAAAAUAAAGAAAAGUUUGAGAUAAUGAUACUUAAUUACAAAUUAUAAUGAAGACCAUAUGUUUGUAUCCUUGUUUUGGAAAUCAUUACAGUGAAAAUGAAAUAUUUGCAGUUAUCUUAUUAUUUUUCUUAGUAUUUGAUUUGAA
rnacentral:lncRNA from 1 species